AAACCAACAGGGAUUGCCUUAGUAGCGGCGAGUGAAGCGGCAAAAGCUCAAAUUUGAAAUCUGGUACUUUCAGUGCCCGAGUUGUAAUUUGAAGAAGGUAUCUUUGGGUCUGGCGCUUGUCUAUGUUUCUUGGAACAGAACGUCACAGAGGGUGAGAAUCCCGUGCGAUGAGAUGAUCCAGACCUAUGUAAAGUUCCUUCGACGAGUCGAGUUGUUUGGGAAUGCAGCUCUAAGUGGGUGGUAAAUUCCAUCUAAAGCUAAAUAUUGGCGAGAGACCGAUAGCGAACAAGUACAGUGAUGGAAAGAUGAAAAGAACUUUGAAAAGAGAGUGAAAAAGUACGUGAAAUUGUUGAAAGGGAAGGGCUUGAGAUCAGACUUGGUAUUUUGUAUGUUGCUUCUUCGGGGGCGGCCUCUGCAGUUUACCGGGCCAGCAUCAGUUUGGGCGGCAGGAGAAUUGCGGUGGAACGUGGCACGGCUUCGGUUGUGUGUUAUAGCCACUGUAGAUACUGCCAGUCUAGACUGAGGACUGCGGUUUUAUACCUAGGAUGUUGGCAUAAUGAUCUUAAGUCGC
rnacentral:rRNA from 1 species